UACGGGGGGGCAAGCGUUGUUCGGAAUUACUGGGCGUAAAGGGCUCGUAGGCGGCCAACUAAGUCAGACGUGAAAUCCCUCGGCUUAACCGGGGAACUGCGUCUGAUACUGGAUGGCUUGAGUUUGGGAGAGGGAUGCGGAAUUCCAGGUGUAGCGGUGAAAUGCGUAGAUAUCUGGAGGAACACCGGUGGCGAAGGCGGCAUCCUGGACCAACACUGAUGCUGAGUGAGCGAAAGCCAGGGGAGCAAACGGG
rnacentral:rRNA from 1 species